CAUCAAGGUCGCAUGGCUACUUUAGGGGACUAAGAGAAAUACUAGUGAGAAUGAUAGGAACAGCCAACUAAGGAUUCAGAUUUUCAGAAGCAGUCUCGAAUCCAAAUAUUUUUUUGCCAGUUAAACUCAUAAGCACACUUAGGUUUGUCAGAACGUAGGUCCUAAAAAACAUAAAAACGAUAUGGGAAGGGGUGGAGUUUCACCGGGGCUCUUCUCUCAGGGAGCAGGAAAGUGUGGGAGCUCCCAGGGCUCAGGGUGACUGCACAACCAGAAGGCAGCUGGGUGCCUGCCAGGAGGCAAGGUGGGAGGCCGAUUCUGCCUGGGACUGCUAAUCUCACCAGAUCUAUGUCAGGCUAAAGUCUAGGCAGCUUGGUCUAACUUCUGGCCUUUCACCUGUUUUGCAAGGUUGCCCUGAAACAAAAGGACUUGGUUGGGUUCCCUGUACAUUGCACCAGACCCCAGAGUGACUCUACCCUACUGGAAGGAAGCUUGCCUCAUCCUAGAUGCUGGGCGGUGGUCCAGUGCUCUCAACUUAGGAAGGAGGCUGCUAUAUUCCAUCUCGGACACCAGGUGGCACCAAAGUAUAACCAUAACUCCAAAGAAACCGGCAGGAAAUGGACCUUGAGAGAGUCCUUGAACUAUUUUCCUCUCCCUCCCCACUCCCCACGUGGAAUUGAAAAAUAAGAAGCCUUUCAGAUAUGGUGGAUAACUCUCAUUCAAUAAAAACGCUUGAAUCUUUAAUCUUCCAGCUGAAGAUUCCAAGGAUUUAAAUGCAGCCUCAGUCCUCACCCUUCUCGGAGACCUAUUUCUCAGCGGCAGAUAAGGAAAAUGGGACUUUCCUGGAAUCAUUUCAGAUGCCUCCACCCUCCAGAAGAGUUGUUUUUCUUCAAGGUGGUCAGCUGAGGAGUAGCAGACAUCAAACCUCGGCGGCUCUGCUCAAAUCCUGGGCCCCCUUCUGAAGGGCUGAGUGCUGUCAUGGGCAUGCUAGGAAUGACCAUGUCUAAACAAGUUGUGAUGUGGCCAACCAGCCUCAUGGCCUCUUACAGUCAAACAGGACUGCUUCCAGCCCCUCAGACACGCUCCAUAAAUCCCCAUUCCCAGGCUCCUCCACCUGGAAUUCUGUCCACUCUCAGCUGUUUUUAUCUGUCAGAUCCAAGGCACUUGUUGAGGUGCAGAUAGAGCUCCAUGAAGCCUUCCUUCACUUCCCCCAGUCUGAAGGGACCUCCACUUUUCUAAAUUACCAUAACAACUUGUGCCAUUUGCCCUAUUCUUCUACUUUAUGUUAUAGUUGUUUUUGAACAUGUCUCCCCUACAAAAUUAUGAGCUCCCCAAGGGCAAGGACCAUAUUUUAUGUAUCUUUUUUAUACCCUGUACUGAUGAACACAGUAGGCACUCAAUAAAUAAUGAUAAUAAUA